rnacentral:rRNA from 1 species
GACGAACGCUGGCGGCGUGCUUAACACAUGCCAGUCGAACGGAAAGGCCCUGCUUUUGUGGGGUGCUCGAGUGGCGAACGGGUGAGUAACACGUGAGUAACCUGCCCUUGACUUUGGGAUAACUUCAGGAAACUGGGGCUAAUACCGGAUAGGAGCUCCUGCUGCAUGGUGGGGGUUGGAAAGUUUCGGCGGUUGGGGAUGGACUCGCGGCUUAUCAGCUUGUUGGUGGGGUAGUGGCUUACCAAGGCUUUGACGGGUAGCCGGCCUGAGAGGGUGACCGGCCACAUUGGGACUGAGAUACGGCUCAGACUCCUACGGGAGGCAGCAGUGGGGAAUAUUGCACAAUGGGCGGAAGCCUGAUGCAGCAACGCCGCGUGCGGGAUGACGGCCUUCGGGUUGUAAACCGCUUUCGCCUGUGACGAAGCGUGAGUGACGGUAAUGGGUAAAGAAGCACCGGCUAACUACGUG